GAAAGGAUAUGCUGUGAAUGACAAAUGUAUUACAGUCCUAUAAGGGUAUCCUUCUUGAAUACAACGGUAGCAUGAAAUUUAGCUUCCUCACUUUCCUCAAGACCAUUUGACCUACCUCUGGUAACCUCUUAAUAUUGAUCAGACUGACCUGUCUCUCUCCUUUGGAGAGGAUAUCCUGGGAAGGUAUGCCUGGUUGAGGAGGACAACAUCAACUGAGGACAUGAUUACACUGAAGAUCACAUCCGUCAACGCCGGAGUAAUCAUGACGCUGAUCACUUUUUGGUUACAGGAGUUGAAAUGAGACAGAUGAAUCGUCUCCUAAUCUCUAGUCUCAAAGAAGUGAUAUGAAAUGCAGAUCUAAAUAGAGCGACCUGGUUCAGAUUUCCCACUAAUCCCUUACAGAGAGAGAAGAAAAGGAGGGAGACGGUGCUGGUGGCCGACAGUGUUGUGGAAGGAUGACGACGCCAACAGGACAUCUCCUAAACCACGUCAUACUUGUCCCAGGUUAAUCACUGGAGCAGGAUUACAUACCAUUUGGCAUAUGGGUCCUUACUGCACAUCGAGACAUAUUGCAAACACAUAGGAAGAUAAUACACACGCUGGGCCCAAGCAGUCCUCUCUGAGAUGUAUAAAAAGGAACAGUAUGCGAAUGAGCCUGUCGAUGGCUGUUCAAAAUGGGUAGGGUUCGGUUGCCAUGUGUUUCUUGUCAUUAUGAAAAAUGUUUGUAAAAAACAGAAGAAUAAAGGUGGACCCAACCACAAGUUCCUUGUUUUCUCAAACGCUACAGUCAAAGCCCAUACCUCAUCCUAAGUGAAAAUAAAAAAUGUUAUUCUAAUACCAGGCGCAGGGUUUGGGAUUGUAUAACUGAAUUAUAAAACAUGAAGUGGCUAAUAAGAGCCUGUUACAGCAGUACUUAAUGUUGGCGGUACAGAGGGAAUGAGUUUGUCUAUGUUGACCUUUAUUUUCUCUACCUUUGGUACAUUUCCUGAAUCCAUUCAGAUGCAAAACUUUGUCUGGUCAAAUUCGAUUAUGAUCAUAAUAAACUAUUUUAAUCUUGUCAGUUCCACGAACAAGCCAGAAAUUCAGUUGAUCAACCCAGUCUGGGCUCUCAGAGAUUUCACUAAGAAGGUUUACUGAUAUCAUUUUUACAAUGCAACAAGUGGAACAAAUUGAAACAUUUUUUCUUCCAUGAGCCACUGUGUCAAAGAAACAUGACCAAAUGACAUCUGACAGUCUAGGAAUUCCCAUCACCCUUUAUUUGUAACAGAUCAAUUCCUGUCUCCCUGCAUGUCAAUCAUGUUGAACGAUCUGGAACCUUCUCUGUCUGUUUACAGCAAGGGUAGAGUACCCUAAUUAGGGUCAGUCAACAACAGCCCCCUACUAAGUAGUGAUUGAUCAACCCCAGUCAGCACAACCAUUGCAUGCAUGGCUUCAAAUGAGGGCUGUGUGUUUAAACAAGGAAAGUGUUACAUAAUGAGGGGAAAAGUAGAACAAAGUCAUUCUUUUUGCAGCUGAAUGGAGUGAAUUCUCUGCUUUGUUCAUUUUAUUACUACUUCUAUUGUACUGUUAUUUUAACCUGUAUAAAUGUUGUUUCAGAAACGUGCUGAAAAUUCUAAUUAUAUGGGAAACGUAAGGUGGUGUUGGCUUUGUACUUGGAAAAAGAUCAUAACUUGUUUCAUCGUUGCUAAAUCCCAGUUUUUAGAACACAGAUGCAGAAUCACAACCGGGUUUUACCAGUAAGGAUCGCCUGGCCACACAGAGUUAACUGUAGGAUUAUCCGUUUCAUUACAACAUCAACUUUCCUCUAAUUUUCAUGAGCUUCUGCUCCCUGUGUUUAUUUAUAUAUCCCUCCCUGUCCCCGUCUCCUGUGUAUUGCUCUGGUGUGCUGUAGGCUACUCUACAGAUCCAUCCUUUAUCGACAUUUUCCUCUGUACACAUUUACUGUAACUUUGACAUUUGGAUGUCAUCCAUGAUUGUGAAUGGGUCUGUAAACCCUGGGUUAAUUCACUCCCAGUUUGUGAACAAAACAUUGCGAUUACCUCAAACACAGACUAAAUGAGCCUACAGAGGAGCAGGUCUUACUGUUGUAACAGCAGGUGACUAUGACCGAUUACUGGAUGCCCUAGAGAUGAAAUAAGAUUGAACUGUAUAAUAAAGAACCUGUUUGCUCUAUCCCUACACAGAAGUUUCCUUGACGUGUAUGAUUAUGGACUGGGUGACGCAGUGCCUCAUUGAGCUCUAGAUUGAUGGAAGGACAAACUUUAAUGGGGAAUGGUAGUGUAUAAGUGUCUCAUGCAAAUGUCUUGAGCAGAUAUUAUUGUCAAAUACUUAGUAGGAGAUAUCCAAAUAACCAAGUUCACAAUUAUAAGUUCAAAUAUUGCUCUAACCAGUUUAAAUGUAUCUUUGAUAAUUAUUAACUCAGUUAUAAAAUUUAAAAAACUCAGUUAAACCAAGGUUACGCAUCUUAUCAAUAGUAGCAUACCAGGUGAAACAGGACAGCUGUUCCAGUAACCAUGAAUUAGAAGAGGCAUUAGAUUCUCACUGGUUUCAGAACAAGCCUUCAUUAUUUGUAGAUAAUCUUUUUGAAAAGACAUUUUAAAGACUGUGAAAAUUAAUAGUAAUACAUGUUCACUUGGUGAAGUCUGUGAAUCCUGUUUCCCACCACAAACGUCUUGACAUUCUAAUGUGUAUUGGACACUGGGGACCUUUACGCAUUUUCGGUUAUGAUUUAGGAUAAUUGAUAAAUAGGCCAGGCUUACCUUAAA